CUACGGGUCGCUCCAGUGGUGAAUAUUGGACAAUGGGGGAAACCCUGAUCCAGCAAUGCCGCGUGUGUGAAGAAGGCCUGCGGGUUGUAAAGCACUUUCGGUUGGGAGGACUGCUUCUAGCACUAAUAUUGUUGGAAGUUGACGUUACCUUCAGAAGAAGCACCGGCUAACUCCGUGCCAGCAGCCGCGGUAAUACGGAGGGUGGCAUGCGUUAAUCGGAAUUACUGGGCGUAAAGCGCGCGUAGGCGGCUAGAUCAGUCGGGUGUGAAAGCCCCGGGCUUAACCUGGGAACUGCAUCCGAUACUGUCUAGCUUGAGUACAGGAGAGGAGGGUGGAAUUCCACAUGUAGCGGUGAAAUGCGUAGAUAUGUGGAGGAACACCAAUGGCGAAGGCAGCUCUCUGGCCUGAUACUGACGCUGAGGUGCGAAAGCGUGGGGAGCAAACAGGAUUAGAUACCCCAGUAGUC
rnacentral:rRNA from 1 species